UAAACGCUUCCAUAAUGGAAACACGGCCUUACACUGGUUUGGAAUAGCAAUCCUGCCGACAGCAAAGAGUUCCUAAAAUUCGCGGAGGCCAGUUGCGAUAUCGAGGGCUCAGAGGCAAGCAACUCUUCUUUUCCCACCGAAAAUUCCUUUGAGGAGCCCUCGGGCCCUCCAGCGAAAAAGAGUCGCUCUGAAUUGACCGAGAGGUUGGUUGAGGCGGAGGAAAGGAAGGCCGCGGCAAUGGAAAAAAUGGCUGAGGACUCCGCAAAAUUCCAGAACCGCCUGCUGGAAAUCCUGGAAAGGCGUUACAAAAUGUAAGAAAUCUUAGUCACAUCUAUAAUAAAAACUAUGUAUAUAAGAAUUUUUCCGAUAUUUUUUUUAAUUUGUACUUCUGAAAUGUUGUCCCAAAGCUUGCCGAAUGAAUUCUGUUCUUUUAUUUGUAUUGUUUAUACAAACUUAUUUCUUCUGCUGCUGGUCUACUGAUGUCAGCCAGUUUCCGCCAAUGGAGCAGUUUCCUUUUUCGAUUCUUCGAAAUCGUGCCUUAAGGUGACCAAAGGCGUUUUUGACUACUCUUCUGG